rnacentral:lncRNA from 1 species
GCUGUAGCGGGCAAGUAGAGGACUACCGAAGGAAGCUCCAAACGGGGACCGACGAAGUUGCCCACCUUCGGAAGCAGUUAUCUGAGAGAGUCCAACUCAUCUCUGCACAAGGCUCUGAUGAGCUCCGCUCCUUGAGGGGGACUAUGGCAGAAUUGUCUGUGGCCCUUGGGCAGGAGGAGGUCGAACUGUAGUGGCUAAAGAU